rnacentral:miRNA from 1 species
AAACCUAGUUGGUUGCGAUAUG